CUAAAACUAACCUAACCUAACACUAACCUAACCUAAAACUAACCUAACCUAACGGCCUCCCUCCCUCCGUUAUAAAUGAUUUCCGAGGGGUGUUUAUGGGGAUGAAUUUACUCAGAAUGCGGAGCUCUUUCUAAUGGUCAGGGUAAGAAAAGCCAUCUCUAGACUGGUGUACUCCUACAAUAAUACCGAUUUUUUUCCUCAUUUUUCUCGCUAGGAGGGACCACUAAGAAACAUGAUACCCGCUGCAACCAGGUUAAGGAGGUAUGAUUUUUUCUCAUUUUUCUCGCUAGGAGGGACCACUAAGAAACAUGAUCCCCGCUGCAACCAGGUUAAAGAGGUAUGAUUUUUUCUCAUUUUUCUCGCUAGGAGGGACCAUUAAGAAACAUGAUCCCCGCUGCUACCAGGUUAAAGAGGUAUGUUCGUUAUGGCCCCUGCGUAUUAUCCAUCAAGAGGAUUACAAGGUGCAUGUGGCUAAGAGGACCUACACACACCGGGAGAGCGUGUCUAGCCUCUAAUUCAAGUGGCGGAGGCUUGCCCUUCUGCCGCGGCGAGCAAGGCUUUCCGUUCCUUCCAGCGGCGAGUGUUGAGCAGGUCGUAGGCGAUUGCGGAGGCGGUGAGGAGUGGAAAGAUGAUCACCACUUUGUUUCGCCUUAAUACCGCGAGCAGGGAGGGUUUGGGGGCCAUUGGAGGGCUGGGGCCGCUGUGGGAUGGUGAAUUAGGCGGUGCUCAGAGCCUUCUACUUACGCAAUGGCCGGUGUGGCGAGAAA